AGAAAACCGAUUAGAAGAUGAGUAAUACUCCUAACUUUUGAAGAGAGUCGCGGCAGGUGAGAAGCGGUAAAGGGCGAGUGUGAAGAUGGUCUUCCAUUAAGCAGGGUAUUCGAGCGCAAGUAAGAAUAUCAUGGGUGUGCCCAUUACAGCACGCGGGUAUUAUAGGUACCCAGUGAGGAAAUCAGUGCGAGCUGGUUUCGAAUUAAGGUGGUAACACGGGAAAAAGUCCGUCCUUUAC
rnacentral:ncRNA from 1 species